UUCUAUAAACAGAGUUAGCCAUUGGGGU
rnacentral:sRNA from 1 species